AGAGCGCAGGCGGUUUCUUAAGUCUGAUGUGAAAGCCUUCGGCUCAACCGAAGAAGUGCAUCGGAAACUGGGAAACUUGAGUGCAGAAGAGGACAGUGGAACUCCAUGUGUAGCGGUGAAAUGCGUAGAUAUAUGGAAGAACACCAGUGGCGAAGGCGGCUGUCUGGUCUGUAACUGACGCUGAGGCUCGAAAGCAUGGGUAGCAAACA
rnacentral:rRNA from 1 species